UAUUCAUGCCUAAAUAUAGAGACUGUCCGAAAUAAAUUAUGGCAUGGUGUCCGGAAUCAAAUAAUGUGGGUCAAAUUUGUCCGAAUUAAAUGAAAACACACGGCCCCUUUGACCUUAAAUAUAAUAACAAAUAUAGGUUAGGGGUACAAAUGUAAGUAGUCAUCCUUAUUCUCCUUAACUAAAGAAGAUUUUGAUACUUCAUUUUCUUUUCUAUGUCGAGCCAUUGUAAAAUAAUGCGCUGUCAAAGUCAAACUUUCAAAUUUGGGCCUAUAGGUGUCCGAAUAGCAUAAGUACUCUAUAUAUAUGGCCUAAUAAGUAAUAUAUAUAAAUUGGACAUAAUUUAAAACAACAAUUAAUAAGAAUAUCUAAUAGUGUUACAAAUGACCAGUGACAGGAAGAGGUUAACGUGUGACCCUGGCGAGAUAACACAGGACCGAGUGUUCUCUGGAAUCUAUGCGUGUAAACAAAGACAGGAUGUGAUGUGCCCUCACGUAUUGUUCCAGAGGACGAACAGAUCUAAGAAGGGGGCAGUGUUACGAUAGAACAGUGACAGAGGUCACUCGUAGUGACCUCAGCGAGAUGACACUGCAGCAGGUGUUCUCUGGAAUCAACAUGUAUAAACAACAACAGGAUGUGAUGUUUCCUCUUGUGUUGUUCCAGAGGAUACUAGCAGUGUUUGUGCAACUUUGGAGAAGCAAUUAGGGACUCUAUAUAAGCCAGAGAGUUAAUGUAAAAAGUCAGUCGUGAGUGAGUCGUUACAGUCAAUACAGGCGAUGUAAGACGUGUGCAGCUCUAGUGGAAGAGAAAUGUGUACGACUUGAUGCAAGUUAACUAGGGUAGAGUUAACUGGAGUGGACUACUGUUGUUAGAUUCUAUACAGCGAACUACAGUGGACUUGAGCCGUUACAGUCGAUACAGUCAAUGUAAGACGUGUGCGGCUCUGAUUCAGUAGACUUGAGUACGACUUGGUUCAGCUUUGGGAGACCUGGAGCGACACUGGUAAGUGUGUCGUUGGUCUGUUCUGUGGAAUACGGCUCGAGGCAAGUUGAGAAGAGAUGAAUUGCAACGAAGUAUAGCUAAUUGUAAACUGACAGAUAUUGCACAGUCUUCUACGCUACAUGUUACAGUAACAAAUUGUUAGAGUUAAUAGUCAAUAAAGUUAUAUGAAGCUGAAAGUUUAGUCGUCAAGUUCUUUACAGUGUUUUUAUUUGUGUGCCUACUAGUACAUUUAGCCAGAAGAUUCAGAAAUACGUAACAAUAUGAUGCUGCCUACUCUCUGUUUAAUAAGAAAUCCCAGCUGUUUUCUCUAAGCAGUAAUAAUGCACUGCUAUAUAGUUUAUACAAGAGAGCUCAUUCAUGUCAUCUGUACAUAUUCUAAACUUUUCAUAUGAUUGAAUUUUGUAAUGAUACUGUCCACCAGGGGACACCCACUCCAGUCUUUCAUGUCUCAGGCUUCUGUUAUUACAAGUAUGAAAAAGGAGGAUAGUGGGACCAAAAUCACCCUCAGACAGCAGCUUUUUGCCUUACCUGAAAAGGUACAUGAUGUGGUCCCAGAGACAUACAAGAACAUUAAGACCAAACUCCCCAUUGUCCAGCGGAGCUUGUCCCUUUACCUGGCCAAUAAAGACACAGAAGCCAUCUUGUUUAGACCUAUCUAAGUGAAUGUCCAACAGACUUUCCAGAAAUUCCAUGACCUUAUUACUCAGGAGUACUCAGAGGAAGAUAUACUUAUCAUUGCUUGUCCUAGCACAGAGCAGGUGAAUCUUCUAGUAUCAUCAAGGAUGUCAUCCACACCAAAGAGAUAAUUCACCUAGAGAAGUGUGGCAUUUGUCAUGACGACAUAUUCUGAUGUCCAUAUGAAGGGCCUGGUUAAGGUGUUCAAGAAGUACAAGAUGUUCCAUCAGAUUUUGAAGAUAAUUACAUCAUAGCCCAAACCUUCUGUGGGUAGCGUCCAAAGCCUGUGACCAUCAAGGCCCUGAGCACAUACCACACAACCAGGCAGCCAUCACCAGUAUUUAAAUAGACCUUAUUGUGUAGGUGGCUGCACCACAAUGCCAGUGUAGUUAUAGCAUCAUAAUAAUUGACACUUCACAAGCUGUAUAUCCCUUGCCUAGUUCACACCAGACAAUACAUUCUAGUAAAUACAAUGCUUAAAGUUGUAUGUACAUAGUCUUUAAAGAAUUAUUUUGUUUAAUUUUAUAUGCUGAAUUAGAAUAUAUCGGAAGUUUUCUUAGUGUGUUUGUAUUUUGAAUAUUUCUUAUAUUUUGAUAAAUGGGCCUAAAUUAAAUUGUUAAAGGAUUUUUGCUGAAUUUUUUUUUAUUAUAAAAAUUAUUAUUUAUUUUUGUUGUUACAAAAAUGUCCUUUGUAAGUAAUUAGACAAACAGUAAUAUGAAUAAGGUGUAUUAAAGGUGUUUAUACUGGUGUGCAAUUUAUUAUUUCUAUAUUUGCCCAGAUUUUAUUUAUUAUUUGUAAGAUUGAAACUAAACACAAAAUAAUUUUGUAAUAAAGAAAACAUCUAUAGGGUAUUUGUUAUGUUUUAAAUAUAUUCAGUGGAGCAAAUGAUUUUUUGGCCAAAGUAUUCAGUGAAUGGUUUGUUGGAGGUGAAGCAAAGACAUUUUUUUUUUUUUUAUUUGAAGUGAAAGGUUAUGACAAAUUUGCAUAGAACUGAUAUUCAUCUGUCUGUAGGCUUAGGAUGGGACAUUUUGCUAACCAUCAAUGACCUUGUGAUGAUACUGUGCAACCUUUUCUUACAAUGGUGAGGGGGUCAUCAAGCAGUAGCUUUGGAGGCCUCUUGUCUCUUUUUGACUUUCACUGUCCCAUUCUGAAUUGAAAGUUCAGGUAGAUCAUUGCAAUUCUUUUUUCCCAGUAAACUUUUGUUAUAAUUAAAUACAAAUUUAUCUAACCAUUCAAAUGAGGAUUAUGGACUAGGUUUUGAUUUUUUAAUUUCUAAAUGUUACCCUUUGUUUGUAAGCAGUCACAAUUUAUUUUCUGUGACUCUUUUUCCUUCACAUUCAAGGGGAAAUGAACAAACAAGAUGCUGGCUUUUUUUUUCUUCAGCUUAUCCAAACUAAAGGCAUCUAUAUAAUAAUAUUGUAAAUUAUAUCAAAUUAUUAAUUAUUUUUUUUGUUCAUUUGUAAGUCAGGAGGUUUGUAUGUUGACUAAGAAUAAUGAUAAUAAUUUUUGUUACAAUGUCAUCCACAAAGUGUUACAAGAAGAUGGAGAGUGUGAUGCUGUUUUUUUUUUUAUCUAAUACAAUUCUAUGAUCUGAUAAUUGACUCUUACCAAGGAUUUUUAAAUAUUAUUAUUUCAGCAUUUCUCAAGCUCUCCUACUGCUGCUUUUUCAUCCCAUAUCCCCCUGGAUGUCUUGAUGGGACAUCACUUAUACAACUUAACACCAUCUGUCUCUGUCCAUAGCUCUAUUCAAUGAGUCUCUAUGCCAUCUCUUUUUAUGCCAUCUUACCCUCUUCUUCUAAGCACUGUUUACCAUUGCAGGAAUUUCUUUUCCUCUAAAAUUCUUGUUUAUGCUUGAUUUGUGCUUAACUUCUUAAAGCUUUUUUAACUUAAUUUAUUUUGGGUAUUUAAAAUGUUUCUAUUCCUAGUUGUGUGAGUGUCUCUGUGUAAGUGUAAAAAAAAAAUGAAAUGCUUGAGUUCUGCAUGUUUACUUCAUUAGUAUCAUUUCAUAUGCCAUCACUGGAAUGUAUAGUCUGGUUUAUCUGAAUGAUUUAUGUUUUAUUGAAAAAAAUAUAUUUAUUAUGUUAACAAUGUUGGAUUAUACAAAAUACAAUAUUGAGGGA